rnacentral:rRNA from 1 species
GGAGGUUGCAAGCGUUGUUCGGAAUAGCUGGGCGUAAAGCGGGCGCAGGCGGCACAGUCAGUCUGAAGUGAAAUCCCGGGGCUCAACCUCGGAAUAGCUUUGGAUACUGCUGAGCUUGAGUACGUGAGAGGAGAGUGGAAUUCCUGGUGUAGCGGUGAAAUGCGUAGAUAUCAGGAGGAACACCAAUGGCGAAAGCAGCUCUCUGGCACGUCACUGACGCUGAGGCCCGAAAGCGUGGGGAGCGAACAGGAUUAGAUACCCUGGUAGUCCCACGCCGUAAACGUUGUGCACUAGGUGUGGGAGGUAUCGACCCCUUCCGUGCCGCAGCUAACGCAUUAAGUGCACCGCCUGGGGAGUACGCUCGCAAGAGUG